UUGAGGUACCAAAGCUUCUGGAGGCUUCCUCUAUUCAUCUGCGUACGAUUAUCUGGGUACGAUUCUCUUCUCUGUUCGUGUUCCUCAUCUUCCCUCGUCUCCUUUGAUUUUUUUGACCUAAUAUAUAUUUUGUUUUGCAUGUGAGGUACCAAAGCUUCUGGAGGCUAAUACGGGGAGGAAUAUUCUUGAAACAGAUCAUCCAGAAGGUCCUUUUGGCACUAAGCUCAAUUCCCUCAAAGGAGACGAAGGAAAGCGACAACUGCAUUUUAUUUGUGUGUGACUCCAUUUCUCUGUUUUAAG